rnacentral:tRNA from 8 species
GGGCCCAUAGCUCAGCUGGAAGAGCCACCGGCUCAUAACCGGUCGGUCCCUGGUUCGAAUCCAGGUGGGCCCACCA